rfam:Myotis lucifugus cont2.14395, whole genome shotgun sequence.
CCGGGGGUGGGGGGGUCCCUCAGCCCGGAUUGAGAGAGGGCGCGGACCAGGCCGAGGGACCCCACCAGUGCACG